rnacentral:rRNA from 1 species
CAAACUCUACCGUACGUAUGUUGGUUCCGGUAGCGAUCGAGGGAAGUUAGUACCGAAGUCUGAGAUGGAAGAUGGCGAGAAAAGCUGUGUGAAUUUCUGCGGUGCCCGUACCGCAAACCGACACAGGUAGGUAGGAAGAAGAUUCUAAGGCCAACGGGAGAAGGGUUGUUAAGGAACUCGGCAAAUUGACCCCGUAACUUCGGGAGAAGGGGUGCUGCAGCAAUGCAGCCGCAGAGAAUCGGCCCAAGCAACUGUUUACCAAAAACACAGGUUUGUGCUAAAUCGAAAGAUGACGUAUACGAGCUGACGCCUGCCCGGUGCUGGAAGGUUAAGAGGAGAUGUGCAAGCAUUGAAUCGAAGCCCCAGUGAACGGCGGCCGUAACUAUAACGGUCCUAAGGUAGCGAAAUUCCUUGUCAGGUAAGUUCUGACCCGCAUGAAAGGCGUAAUGAUUUGGGCACUGUCUCAACAGCCCGCCCGGCGAAAUUGUAGUACCGGUGAAGAUGCCGGUUACCCGCGACAAGACGGAAAGACCCCAUGGAGCUUUACUGUAGCCUAAUAUUGGGUUUCGAUGUUGCAUGCACAGGAUAGAUGGGACACAGGGAAGCAGGUGCGUUGGCGCUUGUGGAGUGGCCGUUGGGAUACCAUCCUUGCGAUAUUGGAAUUCUAACCUGCGCCUUUGAAUCAAGGCGGGGGACAUUGUUAGGUGGGCAGUUUGACUGGGGCGGUCGCCUCCUAAAGAGUAACGGAGGCGUUCAAAGGUUCGCUCAGCUUGAACGGAAAUCAAGCAAAAGAGUGCAAACGCAGAAGCGAGCCUAACUGCGAGACUGACGGGUCGAGCAGUAACGAAAGUUGGAGUUAGUGAUCCGGUGGUAUGUGAGUGGAAAUGCCAUCGCUCAACGGAUAAAAGUUACCCUGGGGAUAACAGGCUGAUCUCCCCCAAGAGUCCACAUCGACGGGGAGGUUUGGCACCUCGAUGUCGGCUCAUCGCAUCCUGGGGCUGUAUUCGGUCCCAAGGGUUUGGCUGUUCGCCAAUUAAAGCGGUACGCGAGCUGGGUUCAGAACGUCGUGAGACAGUUCGGUCCCUAUCUGUCGUGGGCGCAGGAUAUUUGAUGGGAGCUGUUCCUAGUACGAGAGGACCGGAGCGGACGUACCUCUGGCGCACCAGUUGUUCUGCCAAGAGCAUAGCUGGGCAACUAUGUACGGAUCGGAUAAACGCUGAAAGCAUCUAAGCGUGAAGCCGACCCAAAGAUAAGAUAUCCCAUUGUUUCAAACAAGUAAGACCCCUUGAAGACUACAAGGUUGAUAGGCACGAUGUGUAAGUGGAGCGAUCCAUUCAGCAAGCGUGUACUAAUAGGUCGAGGGCUUGACU